AGAAAGACCACCCAUACAACUAGGCCUAGCCACAAUCAGAGAGUUACAGGACAAAGCCAGCCCCCAGGAAAAAUCAUUAUGGGUAACAAGAGGGGCCACAAACACAGAUGUUUGGCGUGGCCCAGAUGGAAGGCCCAUUCUACCGCCAGGGGUCAGACAGACAGCAAUGGAAGAGGCACAUGGAGUGGGGCAUGUGGGACCUGCACAAAUGAUGAGGAACUUAGCCGCCUGGUGGCACCCUUAUCUAAAAGACAUGACAAAAUACAUGGUUAAAACCUGUAAGGAGUGCAACCAAUUUGGAAUCAAGCCCGCCUUCAAGCCAAUAGCAGGGUACUUCCCCAUCCCACUUUGCCCAGGGAAAGAAAUAAUCAUUGAUUACACAGACAUGGUGGACAGAGUAGGUAGUUACAGGUACCUGCUGGUGGCUGUGGAUGCAUUUUCAGGUUGGCCAGAAGCCUGGCCGACAGCAAGUGAAAACAGUGGAACUGUGGUGAAGUGUCUGAUUAAUCAUUAUAUACCACAGCAUGGGUUUCCCGAGGUCAUAAGGUCGGACAAUGGUUCACAUUUCAGGAACCACGAUCUGCAGAGGGUUGAAGCCGCAUUAGGUUUGAAACAUAAGUUUGGCUCAGUUUACCACCCCCAGUCCCAGGGGAAAGUGGAAAGGAUGAAUCAAACUCUAAAAACUAAAUUGGCUAAAAUCUGUGCACAGACCAAAUUAGAUUGGGUUAAGGCAUUGCCUCUUGCAUUAAUGUCCAUAAGAUGCUCAGUAAAUCAAACCUCUGGUUACACUCCAUUUGAGUUGGAGCAUGGCAGGCCUUUUCCUGGCCCCUCCUCUCGCCUGUUAAUGUCGGAUGAAGCUGAUUCAGACCUCGAUCCGAGGACAUAUUAUAACAUGCUCCGCAGUUUUGUUGCCCAGUAUUCCUCACAGGUCGCUGAAAGAAACCAGCAAGAGCUGAAAGAGGCGGCUACACCUGGAAUGGACUACGUCCUCCUGAAAGUCACAAAGAGAAAGUGGGCUGAGCCUCGCUGGACAGGCCCUUACCGCAUAACAGAGCGGACCUCCCACGCUGUCAGGCUCGAAGGGAAAGGUGACACCUGGUUUCAUUACACACAGUGCGCUGCUGCCACCGAACCAGGAAGAACCUUGAGAGAGGUGCAGAAGGACCUGUCAGAAGGAGCUGCAACAGCAUCACCAACCACUUGAGGGAGCCAAAACUCAACCUACAAGCCGGCUGGUUACAAAAGGGGGUGUUCUUCAUACUGAACUAAACAUUUUUAUUUUUCUAUUUUUAACAUCUUUUAUGACUUUGCUUUUAUAUUGGCUUGAGUUUUUAAGAUUUACAUUUUACAUUGCAAUAGUUUUAACCGCUGAAAGCUCAUUUAAAGUUGUGUCACUGAUACUUUUUGUUGCUCUUUAACUCCUAGAACACGCCCUUGGCGAGGUGGGGGGAACUGGACCACCUUUCUGUGCCCCAUUAUCCUCUAUUAGAAGACAUCCAAGCUAAGUAAACAUGUCUUGGCCCUUUCCCCCUGAAAUGACAGGCAGGCAAAGAUGUUGCGUCUUUGUUUGCUUCCUGGCCCUGGGUCUCAUUCCCAUUGGCAUAAUCCUGAUCUGUGAAGGGCCCCCGAAACUUCUGACACCUUCAAGUUCAAAAGCUUCGCCCCCUUCUGACAGUCCCAAUCUGACAAAUGUAGCCCCUAGGGUCUUGCCCACCACUUCCUCUCCAGUUUUGCCCACGCCCGAUCCAUUUAGAAAGAAACGAGACACGGUUACCUCCUGUACCCCAAGUACGACUAGAAUGAUUACUCUCUGUGUCCCCAACAAUAAAAGUUGGGUAGUCGAAAUAGAUUUCGCUAGCUUCCCAGUCACUCCCGUCACCAAAGACCAAGGGGGGGAUCUUUUUAACCUUGCAGUACAUCUCUCCUCCUCAGUGUGGUAUAUAACCCUGGGAGGUUGGCAUCAGUGGAAGUGGUCCAGUUUAGUGUCAGAAACGGACCUCGAUUGGUCCAAGCACUCUAGGGGUCAGGCUUUGCACUGGAGAAACCAAAAUAUGCUCAGAAUAGCAAAAAAACCGGAUCUUUCAGGCUUAAUUUUUACCCUAAAGGAUCUGGCCUUGACCUCCUCGCCAACGGAUGAUGAAAACUCUGAUCGUGAGGGUGACGAACAUUAUCGUCUUUCUCUUGUUUAAAUGCUUCUAGAAUGGUUGUUUCUCUGUGGUGUUUUGUAUUAGGCUUGUUAUUAAUUGUUUCCCUCACCCACUUCCUCUUGAAGGAUAUAUCUGGUUGAACUGUGUCUGGUCGGGUUGUGAGGGUUAAGCGAUGUUCUCAGGGUCUCCGGACUUAAGCCUGAGCGAAUGUGUACUCCCACCACUGGAUAUAAAUUGUUUUUUCCACACCCCUUCCUCACGUUUUACCAUAUUCACUUUUGAAUGUCCUUAGCAGUUACCGUUCUGGGUUUAUUUUACGGUUGAUUUAUUCUUUCACAUUUUCACGUUUAUAUCUCUCAUUAUUAUAGUAUACUCUGUACUCUCCACAUUUUUAUCAUUACUUAUGCUUUUUGGUUGCUGGGUUACAGGAACUGUUAAUUUUGUGUCACUACCCUGGUUGCACUGACUCGUUGUAUCCUUGGGUGCAGGACAGCUGUUACUGCUUUCGUCUGGAACCGAGACUGCUUGCAGCCGACCCCUGGGCAGGGUGGUGCCUGGACUCUUUUCUCCUCAUCUGCAAUGACAGAUAAAGACAAAUGAUAAGACCCGAGGAGUUUUUCGAGCCAGGCUUCGACACGUCUCUGUGUUCCUUUGAAUGUUACUUAUUUUUGUGUGUUGACCCAUUUAAGAUGGGUCAAAAGGGGGAUUUGAAGAAAAUAUAAUCUGAUCAAACAUUA